ACACGCAUGACACACUGCAUAUCAAUAAGCGGAGGAAAAGAAACUAACAAGGAUUCCCUUAGUAACGGCGAGUGAAGCGGGAAGAGCUCCAAUUUGAAAUCUUCAAGGUUUUACCUUGACGAAUUGUAGUUUAAAGAAGUGUUUUCCGUUAGUAGAGUGGCAAAAGUUCUUUGGAAUAGGACAUCAUAGAGGGUGAGAAUCCCGUAUUUGGCCAUUCUUUCUAGCUUUGUGAUACACUUUCAAAGAGUCGGAUUGUUUGGGAAUGCAGUCCAAAGUGGGUGGUAAAUUUCAUCUAAAGCUAAAUAUUGGCGAGAGACCGAUAGCGAACAAGUACCGUGAGGGAAAGAUGAAAAGAACUUUGAAAAGAGAGUUAAACAGUACGUGAAAUUGUCAAAAGGGAAGCGUUUGACACCAGUGUUGUUUUUCCGAAAAUCAAUUACGAAUGUUUUGUUUUUGAGAAGUUAUGACUUCAUCGGCUUGCUUCUCUCUUUACGAAACUUUCUUAAUGCACUUUUCGGUUAACAAGUCAACAUCAAUUUCUUUUGUUGUAAAAGGGUACGAGGAAGGUGGCUUUCUUUUCGGAGAAAGUGUUUAUAGCCUUGUACCUCUGCAAUCGGAGAGAUUGAGGUCUGCAGCGUAGAUCCUUCGGGGCUAGAUACAUUUGUGCUAAGUUAUAGCUUUUCAUAGACAACUUGUUGACUAUGUUUAGUCUUGUAGCUUACUCGCUUAUGCUAUUUUACCUACGCUUAGGAUGUUGAGCGCAUGUCUCUCUCU
rnacentral:rRNA from 1 species